CCGCAUUGAUAUAUUUUAAAUCUCCACACCAUCUGGCUUGGUUUUGAAUAAGUGUUAGGAUCAGUUUAGGCAUAUCACUUUAGUUUGUCGUCAGUGAAGGAGGCGUUCUCUUCGUGUGGUCAAUUGCUUUAAUUCAAAACGCUUGAAUCAAAGAUCAGAGCACUUUGAGGAGUGGCGUGCUGUGGUCCUGAAUGAAAUUAAUUGAUUCUCAAUUUAUCCAGCUUCCACGAGUUUCAGGUGAGGAAACGGUGUUAGCGAUUUGACCGGACGAGGAAGUCAUCUCUCCAGAGAGUCAGCACUGUACCAAAGCUUUCAUCUCCCAAAGCGACGGACGGAAGGAUGGAUGCUGUAAGCGAUUGAAAACAUUUGAGACCACAGAAGAAGAAGAUUGUUUAUUCACUGUGAUUUACUGUAGAUCAUCUUAAAGCCACAGUCCUGAGACUGUGUUUCACCCCAACGUAAAACAACAACCUUAUAUUUUGGGUCAGGAUGGGCUAAGACAGUUGUUGGUUUACUAAGCUCACGAGGCUUGUAUAAGUCAUUCUUUCAGGAUAUUCUAUUUAAGAAAGAAUCAAUGAGUAUAUCAUUCAUUGAAAUGACCAUUGAACAGGCAGGGAAAUCCCAGAGUGUCCCUUUUAACACACAAGCAGUAUACACUACAAUCGUGGUCUCUCACAGUGCACUGCACACGAACGCACUGAUAGGCUACAGACGUACGGUAUGGGAUAACUAUCUGUCUCAAUGCUAUGUGGACAUUGUAUGAAGGUUUAAAUGUCAAGCUGUUUCCUUUUCAAUUCCCUUUGAAUGGCCUUCUGGGAAAUCUACAGGAGGCUUCUGGGAACUGCAGCGUGUGCGACCGGGCCUCAUAAAUACAAGUUAGCGUGGAGACAGUAAGGAGGCUGUUACUCUGAUGUGUGUUGUUAUUUGAUGUAGGCCUUAAAGGGCCAUUAAGCAGUCACUCUGAUGUGUGUUGUUAUUUGAUGUAGGCCUUACAGGGCCAUUAAGCAGUCACUCUGAUGUGUGUUGUUAUUUGAUGUAGGCCUUACAGGGCCAUUAAGCAGUCACUCUGAUGUGUGUUGUUAUUUGAUGUAGGCCUUACAGGGCCAUUAAGCAGUCACUCUGAUGUGUGUUGUUAUUUGAUGUAGGCCUUACAGGGCCAUUAAGCAGUCACUCUGAUGUGUGUUGUUAUUUGAUGUAGGCCUUACAGGGCCAUUAAGCAGUCACUCUGAUGUGUGUUG